AAGUGCUACUGACGCAGGUGGCAUUCCCUACCUUGUACGUUGGGCCUCAAGAAUACAAGCUACGCCGCAGGCAAGAGCCAGCCAAUCCCGGUUAGAGCCUCGGUCCCCCGGCUAACCCCUAAAAGAAGAUGGAGGGGUCAUUUGGGAGCUGGAUAAGUAGCAUAUGAAUGGAUAAAAGGGUUUGGUGGCGCAGUGUUCUCGUGAGUUUUGGAGCUUUGCAGGUACAAUAUAUACAUGCUGCUAAGAUAAUUCAAGAUCCAAGUGUGAAUUUUUUGGUGUUAGAUCCAUCCCUUAUUGAAUUCUAGCUGAAAUUAUUUCAAUCUUCAAAGGGAAUACAUCUGUAGUUAUGAGGUUCUAAGAUACAAAGGCCUUUUGUUGUUUCCAACACCAGGACGACAUAAUUCACUAUGAUUGAACAACGUCAA